GCUAGUUUUUUCUUGAAAUAGUAUGUUUGGGCAAGAUUGGUAAUACAUUUGUGGAUCAUACCACAGCAGGAGGAAAUAUUAUGACACAAGGUACAGUAAAAUGGUUUAACGCAGACAAAGGUUUCGGUUUCAUCGAAGUUGAAGGCGGAGACGAUGUAUUCGUACAUUUCAGCGCUAUCCAAGGUGAAGGUUUCAAAUCAUUAGAAGAAGGUCAAAAAGUUACUUUUGACAUCGAGCAAGGUCAACGCGGAGCACAAGCUGCUAACGUUAACAAAGCAUAAUAAAACAAAAAAGACUCCUUUAUAGGAGUCUUUUUUUU
rnacentral:sRNA from 1 species